rnacentral:rRNA from 1 species
GAUGAACGCUGGCGGCGUGCCUAAUACAUGCAAGUCGAGCGAACGGACGAGAAGCUUGCUUCUCUGAUGUUAGCGGCGGACGGGUGAGUAACACGUGGAUAACCUACCUAUAAGACUGGGAUAACUUCGGGAAACCGGAGCUAAUACCGGAUGAUAUUUUUAACCGCAUGGUUCAAAAGUGAAAGACGGUCUUGCUGUCACUUAUAGAUGGAUCCGCGCUGCAUUAGCUAGUUGGUAAGGUAACGGCUUACCAAGGCAACGAUGCAUAGCCGACGUGAGAGGGUGAUCGGCCACACUGGAACUGAGACACGGUACAGACUCCUACGGGAGGCAGCAGUAGGGAAGCUUCGGCAAUGGGCGAAAGCCUGACGGAGCAACGCCGCGUGAGUGAUGAAGGUCUUCGGAUCGUAAAACUCUGUUAGUAGGGAAGAACAUAUGUGUAAGUAACUGUGCACAUCUUGACGGUACCUAAUCAGAAAGCCACGGCUAACUACGUG